rnacentral:lncRNA from 1 species
UCAUUUGCAUUGUCGGAAGGUAGUAUUGACGGAUUGUCUGAAGGAUCGAAUUAUCAAAGGAUCGAAGGAAGGAAGGAACGAAGGAACGAAGGAAGCAAGGAAGCAAGGAAGCAAGGAACGAAGGAAGGAAGCAAGGAAGCAAGGAAGCAAGGAAUUUGCCAGAUUAGGACACCAAUUAAAGGCCAGAGAGACAAGGGAAAUCACACAGUUGAAGCAGAAACUGAGGCACAAAGUAGUUACAGAAAUUGCCUGAGAUCAUAGUGCUAGUAAUUUUGGAGCUGUGUCUGAAUCCAAAUCUUUUGACUCCAAGAUGGAAAGUAAGUAAAUUCAUUAAGGGUAGAGAUAGUUUUGUUUUGUUUUAUAAAU